GAUGAACGCUGGCGGCGUGCCUAAUACAUGCAAGUCGAGCGAACGGACGAGAAGCUUGCUUCUCUGAUGUUAGCGGCGGACGGGUGAGUAACACGUGGAUAACCUACCUAUAUUACUGGGAUAACUUCGGGAAACCGGAGCUAAUACCGGAUAAUAUUUUGAACCGCAUGGUUCAAAAGUGAAAGACGGUCUUGCUGUCACUUAUAGAUGGAUCCGCGCUGCAUUAGCUAGUUGGUAAGGUAACGGCUGACCAAGGCAACGAUGCAUAGCCGACCUGAGAGGGUGGUCGGCCCCACUGGAACUGGGACACGGGCCAGACUCCUACGGGAGGCAGCAGUAGGGAAUCUUCCGCAAUGGGCGAAAGCCUGACGGAGCAACGCCGGGUGAGUGAAGAAGGUCUUCGGAGCGGAAAACUCUGUUAUUAGGGAAGAACAUAUGUGUAAGUAACUGUGCACAGCUUGACGGUAACUAAUCAGAAAGCCACGGCUAACUACGUG
rnacentral:rRNA from 1 species